CACGGCUUUGUGACUUUCAAUGAAUCUUUUGUCCUAGUCACCAAUCUUUCUGGUAAGAAAACCAUCUGCUGAAUGACUGGUGGGAUGGAGGUGAAAACUACCCAAAGAGGGUCCUCCCAACCUGCCACCAUUUGGCUGUUCAUGGUCUGCUCAUGGUACUCCCCUCCUGCCACCAUGUUGGCUCCUCAUGGUCCUUCCCACCAGCUACCAUGUUGACUGUUCACGGUCCUCCCCACUAGCUGCCAUGUUGACUAUUCAUGAUGUGGACAGAGGGCAAGGAGCUGAACAUCACUCCCCGCAUAUCAAAUUCUGGGUCACAGGAGGAAACAGGACCAAGACCUCUGGACCAGGAGCCCAGUGAGUCCUAAGAGUUCUUGCUCUUUCAGGUGCUGUCACCCCAGUCCACUCUGAUCUCAUCCGCAGG
rnacentral:lncRNA from 1 species